UAGGGAAUCUUCCGCAAUGGACGCAAGUCUGACGGAGCAACGCCGCGUGAGUGAAGAAGGAUUUCGGUUCGUAAAACUCUGUUGUUAGAGAAGAACAGCGCAUAGAGUAACUGUUAUGCGUGUGACGGUAUCUAACCAGAAAGCCACGGCUAACUACGUGCCAGCAGCCGCGGUAAUACGUAGGUGGCAAGCGUUGUCCGGAUUUAUUGGGCGUAAAGCGAGCGCAGGCGGUCAAUUAAGUCUGAUGUGAAAGCCCCCGGCUCAACCGGGGAGGGUCAUUGGAAACUGGUUGACUUGAGUGCAGAAGAGGAGAGUGGAAUUCCAUGUGUAGCGGUGAAAUGCGUAGAUAUAUGGAGGAACACCAGUGGCGAAGGCGACUCUCUGGUCUGUAACUGACGCUGGGGCUCGAAAGCGUGGGUAGCAUACAGA
rnacentral:rRNA from 1 species